rnacentral:rRNA from 1 species
AUUGAACGCUGGCGGCAUGCCUUACACAUGCAAGUCGAACGGUAACAGGUCUUCGGAUGCUGACGAGUGGCGAACGGGUGAGUAAUACAUCGGAACGUGCCCGAUCGUGGGGGAUAACGAAGCGAAAGCUUUGCUAAUACCGCAUACGAUCUACGGAUGAAAGCAGGGGACCGCAAGGCCUUGCGCGAACGGAGCGGCCGAUGGCAGAUUAGGUAGUUGGUGGGAUAAAAGCUUACCAAGCCGACGAUCUGUAGCUGGUCUGAGAGGACGACCAGCCACACUGGGACUGAGACACGGCCCAGACCACUACGGGAGGCAGCAGUGGGGAAUUUUGGACAAUGGGCGAAAGCCUGAUCCAGCCAUGCCGCGUGCAGGAUGAAGGCCUUCGGGUUGUAAACUGCUUUUGUACGGAACGAAAAGACUCUGGUUAAUACCUGGGGUCCAUGACGGUACCGUAAGAAUAAGCACCGGCUAACUACGUGCCAGCCGCCGCGGUAAAAC